GUUUUAAUAGUUUAAAAUAAAACAUUGGUCUUGUAAACCAAAAAUGAAUGAUAAAUCUUAAAACU
rnacentral:tRNA from 1 species